rnacentral:rRNA from 1 species
UACGAAGGGGGCUAGCGUUGCUCGGAAUGACUGGGCGUAAGGGGCGCGUAGGCGGGUUCUUAAGUCAGAGGUGAAAUCCUGGAGCUCAACUCCAGAACUGCCUUUGAUACUGAGAGUCUUGAGUACGGGAGAGGUGAGUGGAACUGCGAGUGUAGAGGUGAAAUUCGUAGAUAUUCGGAAGAACACCAGUGGCGAAGGCGACUUACUGGACACAUAUUGACGCUGAGGUGCGAAAGCGUGGGGAGCAAACAGG